rnacentral:rRNA from 1 species
AGCGAACGCUAGCGGCGGGCUUAACACAUGCAAGUCGAGCGCCCUUCGGGGAGCGGCGGACGGGUGAGUAACACGUAGGUCAUCUACCCUUUGGUGGGGAAUAGCCCGGGGAAACCCGGAUUAAUACCGCAUAUGGUCUUCGGAUCAAAGCCUUCGGGCGCCAGAGGAUGAGCCUGCGUCCCAUUACCUAGUUGGUAGGGUAACGGCCUACCAAGGGAGCGAUGGGUAGCUGGUCUGAGAGGAUGAUCAGCCACACUGGGACUGAGACACGGCCCAGACUCCUACGGGAGGCAGCAGUGGGGAAUAUUGCGCAAUGGGCGGAAGCCUGACGCAGCCACGCCGCGUGUGUGAUGAAGGCCUUCGGGUCGUAAAGCACUGUUUGGAGGGAAGAAUUCUGACGGUACCUCCCAAGAAAGCACCGGCUAACUCCG